CCUACGGGGCGCUGCAGUCGAGAAUCAUUCACAAUGGGGGAAACCCUGAUGGUGCGACGCCGCGUGGGGGAAUGAAGGUCUUCGGAUUGUAAACCCCUGUCAUGUGGGAGCAAAUUAAAAAGAUAGUACCACAAGAGGAAGAGACGGCUAACUCUGUGCCAGCAGCCGCGGUAAUACAGAGGUCUCAAGCGUUGUUCGGAAUCACUGGGCGUAAAGCGUGCGUAGGCUGUUUCGUAAGUCGUGUGUGAAAGGCGCGGGCUCAACCCGCGGACGGCACAUGAUACUGCGAGACUAGAGUAAGGGAGGGGGAACCGGAAUUCUCGGUGUAGCAGUGAAAUGCGUAGAUAUCGAGAGGAACACUCGUGGCGAAGGCGGGUUCCUGGACAUUAACUGACGCUGAGGCACGAAGGCCAGGGGAGCGAAAGGGAUUAGAUACCCUGGUAGUC
rnacentral:rRNA from 1 species